rnacentral:tRNA from 1 species
GCGGGUGUAGCUCAGCUGGCUAGAGCAUAAGCUUCCCAAGCUUAGGGUCGCGGGUUCGAAUCCCGUCACCCGCUCCA